rnacentral:tRNA from 1 species
GCCUGAGUAGCUCAGUGGUAGAGCAAUCGGCUGUUAACCGAUCGGUCAUAGGUUCGAACCCUAUCUCAGGCGCCA